rnacentral:rRNA from 1 species
CCUACGGGCGGCUGCAGUAGGGAAUAUUGCUCAAUGGGGGAAACCCUGAAGCAGCAACGCCGCGUGGAGGAUGAAGGUUUUCGGAUUGUAAACUCCUUUUGUUAGAGAAGAUAAUGACGGUAUCUAACGAAUUAGCACCGGCUAACUCCGUGCCAGCAGCCGCGGUAAUACGGAGGGUGCAAGCGUUACUCGGAAUCACUGGGCGUAAAGAGCGCGUAGGCGGGAUAGCAAGUCAGAUGUGAAAGCCUAUGGCUUAACCAUAGAACUGCAUUUGAAACUGUUAUUCUAGAGUAUGGGAGAGGUAGGUGGAAUUCUUGGUGUAGGGGUAAAAUGCGUAGAGAUCAAGAGGAAUACUCAUGGCGAAGGCGACCUGCUAGAACAUAACUGACGCUGAUGCGCGAAAGCGUGGGGAGCAAACAGGAUUAGAUACCCCGGUAGUC